AUAAAUGGAUUCUUUAUUCAGCCAUUGUAGAAUCACAGAUGCCCCAUAGCAGAUAUGUCCACGUCGCGGGGCUGGAAACUGGGAAGUAUCCUGAGCUAAUUCUGCUACCACCAUCAUCUAUUGUGACAAGUGACGGGUCCCACUGAUUGUCG